rnacentral:rRNA from 1 species
GUCCAGACUCCUACGGGAGGCAGCAGUGGGGAAUAUUGCACAAUGGGGGGAACCCUGAUGCAGCGACGCCGCGUGGGUGAAGGAGUACUUCGGUACGUAAAGCCCUGUCAGCAGGAAAGAAAAUGACGGUACCUGACUAAGAAGCCCCGGCUAGCUACGUGCCAGCAGCCGCGGUAAUACGUAGGGGGCAAGCGUUAUCCGGAUUUACUGGGUGUAAAGGGAGCGUAGACGGCAAGGCAAGUCUGGAGUGAAAGCCCGUGGCCCAACCACGGGACUGCUUUGGAAACUGUGUUGCUGGAGUGCAGGAGGGGUAAGCGGAAUUCCUAGUGUAGCGGUGAAAUGCGUAGAUAUUAGGAGGAACACCGGUGGCGAAGGCGGCCUGCUGGACGGUGACUGACGCUGAGGCUCGAAAGCGUGGGGAGCAAACAGGAUUAGAUACCCGAGUAGUC